CUUGAGGCAGGUGUUGGAUGGGUGUUAUGCUGCUGGUUUUUGGUGAGGAAAAGAAUCCAUUUUUGCCACAGUAGAAGCUUCUGUGUGAAGUUAGCAAAGAAAAUGAAACGCAGACUGAAGAUGCUACAUACGUAUUGCAAACCAAAGAACUCCAUCUCCAACAGGUCUUUUGAAGCUUUCCAAAACAACUACCUGGCAGAUGCUGAUUUGAGGGAUGGAGGGGAUGUUUGUAGCUACUCACAGGAAUGAGCACUUCCCCAGCAAAAGUAGUCUGCACUGACUCAAAGGUGAUGCUAAAUCCCAGAAGGCCUGAACGGGUGGAUUCCUCUUCCUUCUCUGCACCACUGGCUUUCGUCCACCGGGUGACACCUGCUCUGCUGA